UACGUAGGGGGCUAGCGUUGUCCGGAAUCAUUGGGCGUAAAGCGCGUGUAGGCGGUUCGGUAAGUCUGCUGUGAAAGUCCAGGGCUCAACCCUGGGAUGCCGGUGGAUACUGUCGGACUAGAGUACGGAAGAGGCGAGUGGAAUUCCCGGUGUAGCGGUGAAAUGCGCAGAUAUCGGGAGGAACACCAAUUGCGAAGGCAGCUCGCUGGGACGCCACUGACGCUGAGACGCGAAAAGCGUGGGGAGCAACAGGG
rnacentral:rRNA from 1 species